GUUGGCCAAAAUUUUGAAAACCUUAACCCUUUAAAUUUUGUUCCCCUCCCCAACCCCAAUUCCAAUCCCCUUUUUUUUUCCUUUUCCAUUUUCCUUUUCCUGGUUGUUUGUUUUUCAUUCUUAUUUUCAUUUAAUUAUUUUUAAUUUUUGGGAGGGUUCCGCCAGGUUUGUAUUGUUUGUCUUGACCGGACCCGUUAAUUACUUUUCCAGGGUUCCAAGAAAAGAGAGGGAAGGUAUACCGGGCCACCCCCUAGAAGGGUACCUGGAACGGUUUUAUCAAUAAAAAAAAACCCGUUGUUUAAUAAAGGCUUUCGGGUCGUGAGGAAGCCCCGGGUCAUUAGUAGUGGGAGGAACGCCCACCAGGCCAGAUUCCACCCCCCUGAGGGGUUUUCGCCCCAUGGGGAUGAACCCCGCCCAAAUUCUUGGGGGGGCACAGUAGGAAUUUUCGCAAUGGAAGAAUUUUGACCGACAACGCCGGUGGAUGAAGAAGUUUUCGGAUCGUAAAAUUUUGUUUUAGAGAGAACAAGGAUGAGAGUACUGUUCAUCCCUUGACGGUAUUUACCAGAAAGCCACGGCUAAUUACGUGCCAGCAGCCGCGGUAAUACGUAGGUGGCAAGCGUUGUCCGGAUUUAUUGGGCGUAAAGCGAGCGCAGGCGGUUUCUUAAGUCUGAUGUGAAAGCCCCCGGCUCAACCGGGGAGGGUCAUUGGAAACUGGGAGACUUGAGUGCAGAAGAGGAGAGUGGAAUUCCAUGUGUAGCGGUGAAAUGCGUAGAUAUAUGGAGGAACACCAGUGGCGAAGGCGGCUCUCUGGUCUGUAACUGACGCUGAGGCUCGAAAGCGUGGGGAGCAAACAGGAUUAGAUACCCUGGUAGUCCACGCCGUAAACGAUGAGUGCUAAGUGUUGGAGGGUUUCCGCCCUUCAGUGCUGCAGCUAACGCAUUAAGCACUCCGCCUGGGGAGUACGACCGCAAGGUUGAAACUCAAAGGAAUUGACGGGGGCCCGCACAAGCGGUGGAGCAUGUGGUUUAAUUCGAAGCAACGCGAAGAACCUUACCAGGUCUUGACAUCCUUUGACCACUCUAGAGAUAGAGCUUCCCCUUCGGGGGCAAAGUGACAGGUGGUGCAUGGUUGUCGUCAGCUCGUGUCGUGAGAUGUUGGGUUAAGUCCCGCAACGAGCGCAACCCUUAUUGUUAGUUGCCAUCAUUCAGUUGGGCACUCUAGCAAGACUGCCGGUGACAAACCGGAGGAAGGUGGGGAUGACGUCAAAUCAUCAUGCCCCUUAUGACCUGGGCUACACACGUGCUACAAUGGGAAGUACAACGAGUUGCGAAGUCGCGAGGCUAAGCUAAUCUCUUAAAGCUUCUCUCAGUUCGGAUUGCAGGCUGCAACUCGCCUGCAUGAAGCCGGAAUCGCUAGUAAUCGCGGAUCAGCACGCCGCGGUGAAUACGUUCCCGGGCCUUGUACACACCGCCCGUCACACCACGAGAGUUUGUAACACCCGAAGUCGGUGAGGUAACCUUUUGGAGCCAGCCGCCUAAGGUGGGAUAGAUGAUUGGGGGAAGUCGAACCAAGGUGCAUGGG
rnacentral:rRNA from 1 species